AUCGAACGCUGGCGGCAGGCCUAACACAUGCAAGUCGAGCGGCGCUUCGGACGAGUGGUGGCUGCCUAGGAAUUUGCCUGUUAGUGACGGACACCUUCCGGAAGCGGGCGCUAUUACCGCAUAAUAUCAGAUCGGCCUAGGUUGGAUUAGCUAGUUGGUGGGGUAAAGGCCUACCAAGGCGACGAUCCGUAACUGGUCUGAGAGGAUGAUCAGUAACACUGGAACUGAGACACGGUCCAGACUCCUACGGGAGGCAGCAGUGGGGAAUCUUGGACAAUGGACGAAAGCCUGACCCAGCAAUGCCGCGUGUGUGAAGAAGGUCUUCGGAUUGUAAAGCACUGUAGGUUGGGAGGCGUUAUCAAACGAAGAAGCACCGGCUAACUACGUGCCAGCAGCCGCGGUAAUUC
rnacentral:rRNA from 1 species